rnacentral:rRNA from 1 species
AUGUUUUGGAGAAAGCAAGCUUCUCAUUUUGAUUUAGAUGAUGCUGAGCAGAGACAAGCAAAGAUCAAGGAACUGAGAGCUGCACUUGGGCCUUUGUCCGCCUGUGGAGAAAAAUAUUGCAAUGAAGCAUGCUUGGUAAGAUAUCUCGAGGCUCGCAACUGGAAUGUUGACAAGUCUAGAAAAAUGCUUGAAGAAAGUCUCAAGUGGAGGGCAGCCAGGAGGCCUGAGGAUAUUCACUGGCCGGACGUUUCGGUAGAAGCAGAAACGGGUAAAAUGUACAGGGCACCUUUCACAGAUAGAGAGGGGAGAACCGUGAUCGUAAUGAGACCUGCAAAGCAGAAUACAUCAUCUCACGAAGGGCAGUUGCAGUAUCUUACAUAUACCUUGGAGAAUGCAGCCCUCAACCUGCCUCAAGGUCAAGACAAAAUGGUGUGGCUGAUAGACUUCACAGGAUGGACACUGGCCCAUAGAAGUCCCUUCAAGACUUCCAGAGAGAGUAUAAGUACCGUGCAAAACCAUUACCCGGAGAGACUCUCAGCUGCAUUUAUGUUCAAUCCGCCCAAAAUAUUUGAGGCUUCUUUUAAGGUUCUCAAAGUCCUGAUUGACCCGAAAUCGGCCCAGAAACUUAACUUUGUGUACAAGGAGAACGAGGAGAGCAUGAAGACAAUGUACAACCACAUUGAUCCAGAAGUCCUUCCUGUAGAGUUUGGAGGGAAGAACAAUGUAGUGUACAACCAUGAAGAUUACUCCAAGUUGAUGACAAAGGAUGACAUCAAAACGGCAAGCUUUUGGGCAGCAGAUGUUAACCAUGUCAUCAACGUGGACUCGGUUCCUGAGGUUAAGCCGAAGCCGUCACUAAUUGUUGCUAAAGCAAGUUGA